rnacentral:rRNA from 1 species
AUUGAACGCUGGCGGAAUGCUUUACACAUGCAAGACGAACGGCAGCAUAGGUGCUUGCACCUGAUGGCGAGUGGCGAACGGGUGAGUAAUACAUCGGAACGUGCCCAGACGUGGGGGAUAACGUAGCGAAAGUUACGCUAAUACCGCAUACGAUCUAAGGAUGAAAGCGGGGGACCGUAAGGCCUCGCGCGAUUGGAGCGGCCGAUGUCAGAUUAGGUAGUUGGUGAGGUAAAGGCUCACCAAGCCGACGAUCGGUAGCUGGUCUGAGAGGACGACCAGACACGAUGGGACUGAGACACGGCCCAGAAGCCUGCGGGAGGCAGCAGUGGGGAAUUUUGGACAAUGGACGAAAGUCUGAUCCAGCCAUUCCGCGUGCAGGACGAAGGACUUCGGGUUGUAAACUGCUUUUGUACGGAACGAAAAAGCUCCUACUAAUACUAGGAGUCCAUGACGGUACCGUAAGAAUAAGCACCGGCUAACUACGUGCCAGCCGCCGCCGUAA